GACGUAGGGUGCGAGCGUUGUCCGGAUUUAUUGGGCGUAAAGAGCUCGUAGGCGGCUCGUCGCGUCGACCGUGAAAACCCGCGGCUUAACUGCGGGCUUGCGGUUGAUACGGGCGGGCUAGAGUUCGGUAGGGGAGACUGGAAUUCCUGGUGUAGCGGUGAAAUGCGCAGAUAUCAGGAGGAACACCGGUGGCGAAGGCGGGUCUCUGGGCCGAUACUGACGCUGGGGAGCGAAAGCGUGGGGAGCGAACAGG
rnacentral:rRNA from 1 species